rnacentral:rRNA from 1 species
AGGACGAACGCUGGCGGCGUGCCUAACACAUGCAAGUCGAACGGAGUACCUUCGGGUACUUAGUGGCGAACGGGUGAGUAACGCGUGAGAAACCUGCCUUUCAGUGGGGGACAACAGUUGGAAACGACUGCUAAUACCGCAUAAUGUUAUUUGAGGGCAUCCUCGAAUAACCAAAGCUUUAUGUGCUGAAAGAUGGUCUCGCGUCUGAUUAGCUAGAUGGCGGGGUAACGGCCCACCAUGGCGACGAUCAGUAGCCGGUCUGAGAGGAUGAACGGCCACAUUGGGACUGAGAUACGGCCCAGACUCCUACGGGAGGCAGCAGUGGGGAAUAUUGGGCAAUGGGGGAAACCCUGACCCAGCAACGCCGCGUGAAGGAAGAAGGCCUUCGGGUUGUAAACUUCUUUUACCAGGGACGAACACAAUGACGGUACCUGGAGAAAAAGCAACGGCUAACUACGUG